rnacentral:rRNA from 1 species
UACGGAGGAUGCGAGCGUUAUCCGGAUUUAUUGGGUUUAAAGGGUGCGCAGGCGGAGGUGCAAGUCAGCGGUCAAAUUGCGGGGCUCAACCCCGUACUGCCGUUGAAACUGCAUCCCUUGAGUGCGCGAGAAGUAUGCGGAAUGCGUGGUGUAGCGGUGAAAUGCAUAGAUAUCACGCAGAACCCCGAUUGCGAAGGCAGCAUACCGGCGCCCGACUGACGCUGAAGCACGAAAGCGUGGGGAGCAAAUAGG